AACGAACGCUGGCGGCAUGCCUAACACAUGCAAGUCGAACGAGAUCUUCGGGUCUAGUGGCGCACGGGUGCGUAACGCGUGGGAAUCCGCCCUUUGGUUCGGAAUAACAGUUGGAAACGACUGCUAAUACCGGAUGAUGACGAAAGUCCAAAGAUUUAUCGCCAGAGGAUGAGCCCGCGUAGGAUUAGCUAGUUGGUGUGGUAAAGGCGCACCAAGGCGACGAUCCUUAGCUGGUCUGAGAGGAUGAUCAGCCACACUGGGACUGAGACACGGCCCAGACUCCUACGGGAGGCAGCAGUGGGGAAUAUUGGACAAUGGGCGAAAGCCUGAUCCAGUAAUGCCGCGUGAGUGAUGAAGGCCUUAGGGUUGUAAAGCUCUUUUCCCCGGGAUGAUAAUGACAGUACCGGGAGAAUAAGCUCCGGCUAACUCCGUGCCAGCCGCCGCUGUAAAAC
rnacentral:rRNA from 1 species